rnacentral:rRNA from 1 species
GAUGAACGCUGGCGGCGUGCCUAAUACAUGCAAGUCGAGCGAACGGACGAGAAGCUUGCUUCUCUGAUGUUAGCGGCGGACGGGUGAGUAACACGUGGAUAACCUACCUAUAAGACUGGGAUAACUUCGGGAAACCGGAGCUAAUACCGGAUAAUAUUUUGAACCGCAUGGUUCAAAAGUGAAAGACGGUCUUGCUGUCACUUAUAGAUGGAUCCGCGCUGCAUUAGCUAGUUGGUAAGGUAACGGCUUACCAAGGCAACGAUGCAUAGCCGACCUGAGAGGGUGAUCGGCCACACUGGAACUGAGACACGAUCCAGACUCCUACGGGAGGCAGCAGUAGGGAAUCUUCCGCAAUGGGCGAAAGCCUGACGGAGCAACGCCGCGUGAGUGAUGAAGGUCUUCGGAUCGUAAAACUCUGUUAUUAGGGAAGAACAUAUGUGUAAGUAACUGUGCACAUCUUGACGGUACCUAAUCAGAAAGCCACGGCUAACUACGUGCCAGCAGCCGCGGUAAUACGUAGGUGGCAAGCGUUAUCCGGAAUUAUUGGGCGUAAAGCGCGCGUAGGCGGUUUUUUAAGUCUGAUGUGAAAGCCCACGGCUCAACCGUGGAGGGUCAUUGGAAACUGGAAAACUUGAGUGCAGAAGAGGAAAGUGGAAUUCCCAUGUGUAGCGGUGAAAAUGCGCAGAGAUAUGGAGGAACACCAGUGGCGAAGGCGACUUUCUGGUCUGUAACUGACGCUGAUGUGCGAAAGCGUGGGGAUCAAACAGGAUUAGAUACCCUGGUAGUCCACGCCGUAAACGAUGAGUGCUAAGUGUUAGGGGGUUUCCGCCCCUUAGUGCUGCAGCUAACGCAUUAAGCACUCCGCCUGGGGAGUACGACCGCAAGGUUGAAACUCAAAGGAAUUGACGGGGACCCGCACAAGCGGUGGAGCAUGUGGUUUAAUUCGAAGCAACGCGAAGAACCUUACCAAAUCUUGACAUCCUUUGACAACUCUAGAGAUAGAGCCUUCCCCUACGGGGGACAAAGUGACAGGUGGUGCAUGGUUGUCGUCAGCUCGUGUCGUGAGAUGUUGGGUUAAGUCCCGCAACGAGCGCAACCCUUAAGCUUAGUUGCCAUCAUUAAGUUGGGCACUCUAAGUUGACUGCCGGUGACAAACCGGAGGAAGGUGGGGAUGACGUCAAAUCAUCAUGCCCCUUAUGAUUUGGGCUACACACGUGCUACAAUGGACAAUACAAAGGGCAGCGAAACCGCGAGGUCAAGCAAAUCCCAUAAAGUUGUUCUCAGUUCGGAUUGUAGUCUGCAACUCGACUACAUGAAGCUGGAAUCGCUAGUAAUCGUAGAUCAGCAUGCUACGGUGAAUACGUUCCCGGGUCU